CCUCCAGGUCCCAUUCUGCAUCCCCGUGUCUGUCCUGGUGCCACCACCUCACUGCGUCCCUGCAUCCCCAUUUCCAGUGUCCUUAUACCCCCCUUCCCAAUGUCCCUAUAUCCCUAAACCCCAGUGUCCCUAUAUGCCCAAACCUCAAUGUCCCUAUAUAUUUCCCAGUGUCCCCAUAUCUCAUUUCCGAAUGCCCCUGUGUUCCAUUUCCCAUAUCCCUAAACCCCAGUGUCCCUAUAUCCCCAAACCUCCAUGUCCCUAUAUAUUUCCCAGUGUCCCCCAUCUCAUUUCCCAAUGCCCCUGUGUUCCAUUUCCCACAUCCCUUUAUCCCCAUACCCCAAUGUCCCUGUAUCCCCAUAAUUUCCCUGUGUCCCUAUAUCUCAUUUCCCAACGUCUCGAUACCUCCACUUCUCUAUGCCCCCACAUCCCAUUGUCCCUGUACUCCCACUUUCCAACAUCCCCAUACCCCUGCAAUUUCCCAGUGUCCCCGUAUCUCAUUUCCCAACGUCCCUAUUCCCCCACUUCCCUAUACCCCCACUUCCCAAUGUCCCUCUACCCCCGUCAUUUCCCAAUGAUGCCCCUAUACCCCCACCCCCCAAUCUCCCUCCGUCCCCACACCCCCGCGCCGCGUCCCUGCGCCCCAUAUCCCCGCGCCCCCCUGACCCAUCCCGUGCCCCCCAGCAUGCGCGGCGUUCCUGGAGCAGCCGACGUUGGCAUUCGUGCGGCUCCGCGAGACGCUGCCGCUGGACACUGAGCUGGCCGUGCCGCUGCCCAUGCGCUUCAUGGUGGUGGUGCUGUGCCCCCUCAGCACCCGGCUCCAGUACCACGAGAUCGGCCGCGCCGCCGCCACCGUCAUGUCCGACCGGCUCCACAUAUUUGUGCCCCAUGUCCCCAUCACCCCAUGUCCCCAAGUCCCCAUGCUGCUGUGGCCCCCCCACACCCUCAUGUUCCCACGCCACAGUGUCCCACGUCCCCACCUCCCCUUGUUCCUAUGUCCCCAUGCCACCACCACCCCUUGUCCUUGUGCCCCACAUCCCUCCAUAUCCCCUGUCCCCAUUUCCUUGUGGCUCCACAUGUCACGUUCCUCUGUAGCUCCGUGUCCCCACAUCCCCAUCCCCUGAUGUCCCCCUGUCCCCAUGCCCCCGUAGCCCCAACACCCACAUUGUUCCCAUGCCACAGUGUCCCAUGUCCCCAUCUCUGUGUCCCAUGUCCCCAUGUCCCCACAUCCUUUUGUCCCCAUGCCACAUCCCCGUGCCCCAUGUGCCACCACGUCCCCAUGCCCCUGUCCCCGUGUGUCCCUAUGUGCCCAUACCCUGUGGCCCCAGCAUCCCAAUCUCACAUUGUCCCGCGUCUCCAUGCCCCCAUUCCCCCGCACCC
rnacentral:lncRNA from 1 species